AUCGCCCUUGUUCGGGGGCGCAAAAUCUCUGCGACUGAAGGUUAGCUGCUUUCGGAAGGGUAUUAAUUGAGAAUAAUUUGCAGACCAGGAUCCCAAUGCAAGUUCUCCAUUUUGCAGAGUGAUCAGGAUCUGAGUAUCAUUGACACUUAAAUGCGAAAGGGAAGAGGUUUAACCAUUCUAUCCAUGGGAGAAUAUUCCUGGACUCUUUUAUGACCCCCACAGGACCUUUCGUGAUCUAAUCCAGUAACAGUGUGAGCUGCUACAAUGCACGUGCUUGUGAAAGCGAGAAUAAGAGGACAGAUGAGAUGAGUGCAUGGCUGGAGAUAUAACUUAAAGCGUUUAGAUUCCUGAGGCUUUGAGACUGUUUGUUUCUGGGGAAGGUGGGACAUGCACAAGCUUGAACAAUUGUCCUGGGCAGAGCUGGGACAGAUAUUCUUGUUGAUGUUUUUGCUAGUUCCACUGGUGAGGAUUUAAACUCGGAUGACAGGGGAAUGGGAACCAAAGUAUAGCUUCAGUAGUAAGAGACUCAGAUCAGCAAAUGGGACGUGAAAUUAGUUCAUGAUGUUGUCGGUGGCUGAAAGAUUAAAAGAAAGAAGGAUUAAUCAAGAUCAAAACUCUCUCAUCAUGCAUCAGACCUGAGAUCCCAGGAAUUGGUCUGGUGAACCUUCUUUACGAUCAUUCAGUAGCCAGGGCAUCCUUCCUUUGGAAAGGAGAACAAAGGUGCACACGAUUCCAGGUGUGGUCUCACCAAGGCCCUUAUAGAAAGAUAUCCCUCUUCCUGUACUCGAAUCCUCUCACAAUGAAGGGCAAAAUAUCAUUUGCAUUCUUCACUACUUGCUGCUGCCUGUUUCCUAAAAGAGAAUAGGAGAGAAACACGGAACUAAAUGGGGUCAGACACCGGGGUAACAUUGUUGAACACACUGUCCCCAUUGUAUCAGUGCUGGUCAUCAAGCACCUAUUUAAGCUAGGCCCGUUUUCUGGCACUCGGUGUGUAACCUAUAUUAUGGUGCAAUGGAUGAUCAUCUCAACACUUCUUCAAGAUUGCAAUGGUUCCUGCAUCUAUCACCAUUUCAGAUGCUGCCAGAUCUGCUGUGGAUCUCCAUCUUUUUCUGUUUUUAUUUCAGAUUUCAGGUAUUUUGCUGUGUAUUCUCAGCCCUUCAGAAGCAUCAGAGGGUAUGGGGAGAAAACAGGAAUUGGAUUCAUUUUCUGAUGUAUAAAAUGCCUGCCCUUCA